GAUGAACGCUGGCGGCGUGCCUAAUACAUGCAAGUCGAGCGAACAGACGAGGAGCUUGCUCCUCUGACGUUAGCGGCGGACGGGUGAGUAACACGUGGAUAACCUACCUAUAAGACUGGGAUAACUUCGGGAAACCGGAGCUAAUACCGGAUAAUAUAUUGCACCGCAUGGUUCAAUAGUGAAAGACGGUUUUGCUGUCACUUAUAGAUGGAUCCGCGCCGCAUUAGCUAGUUGGUAAGGUAACGGCUUACCAAGGCAACGAUGCGUAGCCGACCUGAGAGGGUGAUCGGCCACACUGGAACUGAGACACGGUCCAGACUCCUACGGGAGGCAGCAGUAGGGAAUCUUCCGCAAUGGGCGAAAGCUUGACGGAGCAACGCCGCGUGAGUGAUGAAGGUCUUCGGAUCGUAAAACUCUGUUAUUAGGGAAGAACAAAUGUGUAAGUAACUAUGCACGUCUUGACGGUACCUAAUCAGAAAGCCACGGCUAACUACGUG
rnacentral:rRNA from 1 species